UACGUAGGGGCCUAGCGUUGUCCGGAUUUAUUGGGCGUAAAGAGCUCGUAGGCGGUUCGGUAAGUCAGGUGUGAAAUCUCCACGCUCAACGUGGAGGCGCCACCUGAAACUGCCGUGACUCGAGUCCGGUAGGGGAGUGUGGAAUUCCCGGUGUAGCGGUGAAAUUCGUAGAUAUCGAGAGGAACACCGGUGGCGAAGGCGGCCAACUGGACGAGUACUGACGCUGAGACACGAAAGCGUGGGGAGCAAACAGG
rnacentral:rRNA from 1 species